rnacentral:rRNA from 1 species
GAUGAACGCUGGCGGCGUGCCUAAUACAUGCAAGUCGAGCGAACAGACGAGGAGCUUGCUCCUUUGACGUUAGCGGCGGACGGGUGAGUAACACGUGGAUAACCUACCUAUAAGACUGGGAUAACUUCGGGAAACCGGAGCUAAUACCGGAUAACAUGUUGAACCGCAUGGUUCAACAGUGAAAGACGGUCUUGCUGUCACUUAUAGAUGGAUCCGCGCCGCAUUAGCUAGUUGGUAAGGUAACGGCUUACCAAGGCAACGAUGCGUAGCCGACCUGAGAGGGUGAUCGGCCACACUGGAACUGAGACACGGUCCAGACUCCUACGGGAGGCAGCAGUAGGGAAUCUUCCGCAAUGGGCGAAAGCCUGACGGAGCAACGCCGCGUGAGUGAAGAAGGUCUUCGGAUCGUAAAACUCUGUUAUUAGGGAAGAACAAAUGUGUAAGUAACUAUGCACGUCUUGACGGUACCUAAUCAGAAAGCCCCGGCUAACUACGUG